AUGCAAUUAAUUUCAUGGUUCUAUGGUGCUGCUGAGAAUGUACCAUACACAACACAGGACCUUGCGAAUCUGCGAGCCAAAUUUCAUCAGGAGUAGUGUAAUACGGACAUGGGGAGCACGACUGCAUACUUUGAGGAGCUAAGGGCAAAGGAUCCAGAUUUCUAUUGGAGAAUGAAACUUGUAGAUGAAUACAGGGUGGAAAACGUGUUUUGGAUAGAUGACGCGUCAUGCAGGGCAUACACAAAAAACAACAACAUUGUGUCGUUCGACACAACAUACAUGACUAAUAUGUACAAGAUGAUGUGUGCGCCCUUCAUUGCAUUAACAACCAUGGACAAUUAA
rnacentral:rRNA from 1 species